UUUUCUGUUGCUUUUCUUUGAGUCCA
rnacentral:piRNA from 1 species